rnacentral:rRNA from 1 species
GAAAUGCGAUAAGUAAUGUGAAUUGCAGAAUUCAGUGAAUCAUCGAAUCUUUGAACGCACCUUGCGCUCCUUGGUAUUCCGAGGAGCAUGCCUGUUUGAGUGUCAUGAAAUUCUCAACCUACAAGCCUUUUCGGAGGUCCUUGUACGGCUUGGACUUGGAGGGUCAUUGUCGGCAGUGAUGUCGGCUCCUCUUAAACGCAUUAGCUAGUUCUCGCGGAACGGCUUUCGGUGUGAUAAUUGUCUACGCCGUGGUCGUGCCGGGUAUAUGGACAAGCUUCUAAACCGUCACUCCUUGUGAGGGACACAUAUCUUGACAUCUGACCUCAAAUCAAGUAGGACUACCCGCUGAACUUAA